rnacentral:rRNA from 1 species
UACGGAGGGAGCUAGCGUUGUUCGGAAUUACUGGGCGUAAAGCGCGCGUAGGCGGCUUUGUAAGUUAGAGGUGAAAGCCCGGAGCUCAACUCCGGAACUGCCUUUAAAACUGCAUCGCUUGAAUCCAGGAGAGGUGAGUGGAAUUCCGAGUGUAGAGGUGAAAUUCGUAGAUAUUCGGAAGAACACCAGUGGCGAAGGCGGCUCACUGGACUGGUAUUGACGCUGAGGUGCGAAAGCUGGGGGAGCAAACGGG